CGGCCUGCAGUCCGUGCCUCUCUGCCCGCGCGGGGACCACACAGUUGGAGAGGCUGCCGGGCACCGGCGCGGGCGAUGCUCAGCAUGGACCUCCGGCCGGCCAGCCUGGGCUUGUUUUCCCGGUAGUACUGGGUUCUGAGAGAGAGUAACUGCAUGGAAGGCCUUGAAGACUGGGCUUGGGCCUGCUGUACCCACAUGACUGCUUCUGCCACGUUCUACUGGCCAAGCUCUAUGGGCAGCUCAGACACAAGGGAAGAGACUCUGCUGCUUCCUGGGAGAAGCUGCAAGACCACAUUGCGAAGGAACAUGUUGUUGCUGCUCCCAUGUUACCUUCGUCAGUGACCUGAGAUGCAGACUGGAUCUAGGGAAUGGUGUUUCCUGUGUGAUGCCUUCCAGGAGUAUCUGCACCACGGGCAGUGCCAGGCCGAGGACAGAGGGCCUAAUGGAGGACACUCUACAACUCCAUCCUGCUGCUGGGGGGGCUUGGGGGCGCCUCCACGAGGGUCUUCAGAGGAAAGGCAUGUGUGUGGUCUGUGGCCUGCCAGCAGGAGAGCUGGGGGAGGCCGGCAUCUUGAGGCUGUUGGCAGCAAGUGCAGGCAGAGGCCUCGGGCCAGAGGGGAGGUGGCAGGGCUCAGGUGCCCUGUGCUUCCUCGGAGAAGGCACUUGGGAUGAAGGCUUAGUCCUGCCUGGUAAACCUGGAGGCCUGUGAACACUGGGGUUAGCCCCAACAAGGGAGGAGGUUCCCGCUGCCUCACUAAGAACAGCCUGCUGCUACACUCACCCUGACAGCUGCUCCGCUCCCAGUGAACCCCACCCCGAGAAGGCUCAUCGGGGCCACGGACCUCCCUCAGCGCUGCAUUCAGAAUCCCUCAGGAGUUGUAAACUUCCU
rnacentral:lncRNA from 1 species